UAAAUAAGAAACAAUUAAUUGUAUUUAGUUUCGACCUAAAAUUUUGAUGUUACUCAUCCUUAUUUAU
rnacentral:tRNA from 1 species